rnacentral:rRNA from 1 species
GAGAUGGACCCGCGUCUGAUUAGCUAGUUGGAGAGUAACGGCUCACCAAGGCAACGAUCAGUAGCCGACCUGAGAGGGUGACCGGCCACAUUGGGACUGAGACACGGCCCAAACUCCUACGGGAGGCAGCAGUGGGGAAUAUUGCACAAUGGGGGAAACCCUGAUGCAGCAACGCCGCGAUGAGUGAAGAAGUAUUUCGGUAUGUAAAGCUCUAUCAGCAGGGAAGAAGAGAGACGGUACCUGACUAAGAAGCCCCGGCUAACUACGUGCCAGCAGCCGCGGUAAUACGUAGGGGGCAAGCGUUAUCCGGAUUUACUGGGUGUAAAGGGAGCGUAGACGGCUUGAUAAGUCUGAAGUGAAAGGCCAAGGCUUAACCAUGGAACUGCUUUGGAAACUAUGAGGCUAGAGUGCUGGAGAGUAAGCGGAAUUCCUAGUGUAGCGGUGAAAUGCGUAGAUAUUAAAAAGAACCCCCGUGGCGNGGCGGCUUCCUGGCCCGNNNCUGNCGUUGNGGCUCGNANGCGUGGGGACCCUAUUAGGNNNNNNNCCNNNNNNNUCCNCNANNNNAACAACCUUUACUGGCUGUUGGUGGGCAAAGCCCAUCGGUGCCAUCGCAAACGCAAUAAGCAUUCCACCUGGGGAGUACGUUCGCAAGAAUGAAACUCAAAGGAAUUGACGGGGACCCGCACAAGCGGUGGAGCAUGUGGUUUAAUAAAAAGCAACGCGAAGAACCUUCCCCCCUCUUGACAUCCUCCUGAAUGAUGGGUAAAGCCAUCAGGCCUUCGGGACAGGAGAGACAGGUGGUGCAUGGUUGUCGUCAGCUCGUGUCGUGAGAUGUUGGGUUAAGUCCCGCAACGAGCGCAACCCUUAUCAUUAGUAGCCAGCAGGUAGAGCUGGGGACUCUAGUGAGACUGCCAGGGAGAACCUGGAGGAAGG